GUGUGUCAUUCUUUUAGCCUUUUGUGGAGUUCAUCGAUCUCGAGUUUCUACUAGAAGUUGAGAAAAAUAUUUAACGUCUGCACCUCUCACCAUCGUUCAAAAGAAGCACGGAGGAGCAAAUACUAAGCAAAGUUUCGUCCAUUCAUACCAAAAACAGUAAAAUCACAGCCGAUGAUGACUUCCCGUGUAAAUGCAAAAACAACCUAGAGUUCACUCUAGGCUAUAUAUAUGACGCCAUAAAAUGACUAGAAUGGCAUCACUUGCAUUUGUGGUCUAAAUACAAUACUGAGAAAGGGAAACAUGGAUCGGCGGAUAAACACGGAAUUUAGGACAGAAGACGGGCGUGAAAAUUUUCUUUUUUAUGCCUCCGGCCUGACAACAUCAUAUGAUGGGAGAAAAACAAAAAACAAAAGCUCUUCGUGACUCGGAGGUGCUAUUUUAUUGUUUAUAGAGCCGAGAUCAUCGAGCUGGGUUUUUCCAAUAAUGAAACAAUAGUCAAUGAUGUUACGUGUAAGCUGUAAGCUACAAUAAAAUGUUUGCGGGCUGGUUCUAAAGAGAUAGACGUAGUAGAUUCAUUGAAUCAGAACUAUUGACGUUUGUCUACUGAAAAUUUGUGUUUUGCAGGAACAUUUGG